AUUUAGUGCAAUGCUGAUAAAUUCUUUUUGUUGGAAUGCAUCCUUACUUAUAACUCUAGUUAAAUUAAAGUAGAGAAACAAAAGUGCUUCACUUAGUGCGGCCAUUUGGGGUGUUCUUUUCUUUCCUUUCAUUGGGAGAGACAACCUAUCAGGAGAUUCCAUCAUUAGGGCUGAGGAGGAAGAGGCAAUAGAGAAUCCACACGCAGCACAGACUGCUAGCUGCCUACCAUCACCUGUGCUCCUGCCCUUCCUUUAGAACGGAACCUCCAGCUUAGGAAGCCUGGGUCGUUGAUGCCGGUACCAGCCCUGUGCUGCCUAUCCUGAGACUUACUUUACAUAAAAAUAAAAUAAACUACUAUUAUUUUGAGUAUCUGUCACAUGUCCUCAAGCCUAAUCCUAUGUGAUGUCCCUCAUAACCCAGUCCAGGAGACACGAUCCCCUAAUAUAUGAUUCAAAUUGAAUUCAAACAGCGAGAAGCCCAGUCAACUGGACCAAAUGAUGCAUGACUAUGACAGCCAUAAAAACUGCCAGUCAGUGGUCUCUACUAUGUGUUGGGCAUUGUUUUGAGUUUUUAAAUAUAUUGUUAUUUAAUUCUGUGAAGUAGGAAUCGCUGUCCUCAUUUCGCUCAGAAUGAGCCCAAGGUUACUUUAGACAACUUGGAGUGGAGCCAGGAUUCAACCCUAAGCUUGUCUGGCUCCAAAUCCCAUAAACUGAUACCUUGUUAUCAGCUGCUUCAGAGGACCAAGAAAUCCAAAGGCUCUCACUCAUGGUCUCUCAAAAACCACACUCCUUCUCUAAAGUCUUCAAUUAUCCAUCAGGUCCCCAAUCAUUUCUGCAACAUGAGUGAAACUGGUGAAAGGUAAUUUUAAUAUUAAUUUUAAAUUAAUAUUGUAGUUAAUAUUUAAACCAUAUCAGCCAAAGAUUCCCAGUUGUCACCCAAAAAGCAAGUGAAAAUGUAUGGAGAAAUUCACAAUUCCACCCUUUACACAGCCUUUGGUUUUUAUUUUUCCUGUCUGGCUGCAGAUUUUUGCAGGACAACAGAUAACUGUUCCUUUGGAAUAGCUCACCUUCUCCUGAUUCCACUUAUUCACUUGAAUUCAUGCUCCUCUGAUUGGAAGAGAAUUCUUAUUCCUAUAGUAACAAGGGUUUUGCUCCCUACCCUCUCCUUCUUAAAAAUCCUAGCAGACGCGCUUUACUUCAGAAUUGGAAUAAACAGUGGAAACAGGUGACUCUAUUUUUAAAACAUGUUUUCCUCCACAAAUGGUCUCUUACCAUCAAGUUAGAAGAAAUAUUCUUUACAACCUCCCCUCCCCUUGACUUCCAUUUUCAUCUAAAGUAUCUGUCGUUGGGGAAAUUACAAGUUGGCCUAACACGUUGUUGGAGCAGCCUGGGCUUACGGCUGUCCAGUUACUGGUCCAAACUUUCCUUUGGGAUGGGGAGGGGCAGUUCUUCAAGGUUGGCUGGCCCCCUUUGAAAGAUUCUCUAGAACAGAUCAGAGAUGCACAUGGUUGACAGAGAGAUGUCUCAUACAUUUUAAUAAGAGCCAGCAGAAGCAAAGAGUGUCUGUAUAAGUAGAAUUAAACAUAGCUUUUUAAUGUCUUCCACUUUUCCCAACAGCAUAGAAGCCUUGCUGCCAUUUCUAAGCAUCGGAGAGCUAAAAAGAGACCUCUCUGGGGCUUCAAUGCCACCAAAUGCUGGGCAGAAUGGGCACAGCUGGUGGGAACUUCAAAUCACAGCUGUGCCCAGAAGCUCACUGUAGCAGCUCGUGGCCUUCUGAGAUACCCUGGUACACUCAUCCACUGCCCCUAGUUAGCAUCCACCUGAUAUCUAGCUAUUGAUGGAUGUGUUUGUCCAUGCUGCCCGUGCUCCCACGUUGUUCUCUCGCUGUCAGUCAACAGAAUGCAUGUCAUAGGUAUUGUAUUAUGUUCCCUUAGCUCCCUCUUUCAAAUGGCAUAUUGAGGUGGGCGUCACAGUCACAGUCAGACAGAGACACUCACUGCUGGCCUUCAGAAAGGUAUUUGGCCUGUGUGAAUCUCAGUGUCCUCAUCUACUAUGGGGUAAAAAAAUACCUCCAUGAGAGGAUGGUUGAUGAGAUCAUGUGCACGAAGCACCUGACACAGUAGAACCUGGCUCAAUUCUUAUGUACUAUUUACAAUUUUAGUAUUUACCCCAUCAGUAGUAGUUAUCUCUGUGUCACAUGAGUAAAGGACUGGCCUCUUCAGUGUUCAGGUCCCUCCUCUGUAAAUUUGGAAUGACAGUACUUUCUUCACAGAAUUAAUUUAGGAAACGGACCAGACAAGAUGUAUGGCAGUGCCUGAUAAGAUGCCUGACAUAUAAAUGUUAAUUCUUUUGCCCACUCCUUGUUAACAUCACCACCACCACUACUAGGCACCAGAUAUAACGCUGAGAGGAUAUUACUUUUGAAGCUGUUACAGUUACUUAUUGCUGCAAAAUAAACCACCCCAAAACUUAAGGACUUAAAGGAAU
rnacentral:lncRNA from 1 species